UUGUCAGGUAAGAUAAUUCUCACCUGUUCCUCUUUUUGGAGGGCAGAAUAGAAUGUGAUGAUUGGAGCUCGAAUGAUUUAUGAUUAAGGGCUCUCCAUAAUCAGGACUUGCAACACCCUGACUGCACCUGUCUGAU
ensembl:snoRNA U8 U8 small nucleolar RNA